GGCCUCGGAGCUCAGCUGGUAGAGCGUGAGUUGUACAAAAGCGUAGGAGGUAUCCUUGUGUGGUUUCGAAUCCCACCGAGGCUA
rnacentral:tRNA from 1 species